UCAGGAUGAACGCUAGCUACAGGCUUAACACAUGCAAGUCGAGGGGCAGCAUCAUCAAAGCUUGCUUUGAUGGAUGGCGACCGGCGCACGGGUGAGUAACACGUAUCCAACCUGCCGACAACACUGGGAUAGCCUUUCGAAAGAAAGAUUAAUACCGGAUGGCAUAAUUAUUCCGCAUGGGAUAAUUAUUAAAGAAUUUCGGUUGUCGAUGGGGAUGCGUUCCAUUAGGCAGUUGGCGGGGUAACGGCCCACCAAACCUACGAUGGAUAGGGGUUCUGAGAGGAAGGUCCCCCACAUUGGAACUGAGACACGG
rnacentral:rRNA from 1 species